rnacentral:rRNA from 1 species
AAAUUGAAGAGUUUGAUCAUGGCUCAGAUUGAACGCUGGCGGCAGGCCUAACACAUGCAAGUCGAGCGGAAACGAGUUAUCUGAACCUUCGGGGAACGAUAGCGGCGUCGAGCGGCGGACGGGUGAGUAAUGCCUAGGAAAUUGCCCUGAUGUGGGGGAUAACCAUUGGAAACGAUGGCUAAUACCGCAUAAUGCCUACGGGCCAAAGAGGGGGACCUUCGGGCCUCUCGCGUCAGGAUAUGCCUAGGUGGGAUUAGCUAGUUGGUGAGGUAAUGGCUCACCAAGCGACGAUCCCUAGCUGGUCUGAGAGGAUGAUCAGCACACUGGAACUGAGACACGGUCCAGACUCCGUACGGGAGGCAGCAGUGGGGAAUAUUGCACAAUGGGCGCAAGCCUGAUGCAGCCAUGCCGCGUGUGUGAAGAAGGCCGUUCGGGUUGUAAAGCACUUUCAGUCGUGAGGAAGGUAGUGUAGUUAAUAGCUGCAUUAUUUGACGUUAGCGACAGAAGAAGCACCGGCUAACUC